GUUUGGAUAUUAUUAGCUUUGAUUAAAAACAAAAUAAAAAGUGGAUAUUACCCGACCCGCACUCCGCUUAUCACUACCAUCAUCUCCCGGCACCAGCUGCUUACACCUCCGCACGCAUCUUUCUCUUUCUCUCAGGUUUUUAUCUCUCUCUCAUUAACUUAGCUUCUUUUCAAUUCUCAUGCUAUUUUACUCUUUAAAUUCUUCCUUACUUUAUUCCUUCUUUGAUUUUGUUGUGAUUUAUUUUUCUUCGACAUGCGCAAGAUUCGAAUUUCACUUAGGAUUUCGAAAUUUUCUCUUGCAGGAUUUAUAUUACUUAAUUAGGGUUUUAUGGGAGACUAUUUUGAUUUCGUUACUUUACAACACACUAUACCAUGCGUUUCAAAUCGAUGAUUUUAUUUUUCUGAACUAGUUGCUGAAAAACCCUAAUUUUUUCAAGUGGGGUACAUUGAUUAUUACGAUUUUGGAAGAAUGUGAGUUGUUGAAUGGGAGUAGUUUGCCCAAAUUCCUUGUUGUAUGGACAAUUCAUAAUAGUAGCACUUUAUAAGAUAGGGUUCACUCACGCCCAAUUUCGGUAGUGUAAUAGGAGUUGGAAUGGUUGAAAUUUAAAAUACAAUGAUAUCUUUUUCUGUCAGUGAAACCAAAUUGGUAAUUAAUAUGAUAGAACUGGACUAGAGUAGCUGAAUACCAAUGUUAUCACUGAUGUUCUACCACUUAUAUCAGUGUGAUAUCAAUAAUUGUGGUAGGCUUGCACAGAAACAGUAGAAAAAAUAGAUUUCCCUGGUUCCUCCCACCCACUCCCAUUCUCUUCCCAAUUUUCUCCCCCUUCACUCCCUCCCUUUUGCUGCUACUUACCAACCAAAAUAACCCAAUACCUGCUCUCACAUGCUCAUUUAUAUGACCAGGAAGUUGUUUUUAGAGUAGGGGAUGGGAUCAUGUGCAAGGACUAUGUUAACUUAAGGGCCCAAAUGCUAGGGAGAUUAAAGAACAAUGAUAUUUUCGGUAUGGAAAAGGAUGGGUAUAUUGUGAAGGAAACUUAUGGAUGAUAUGAAAAAUAACUUGUACUUUUUGCACUUGCACCACCAAAGGUGUACUUAUGUAGCAGUCUUCUUUUUUCUUCCUAUCUCUUUUUCGUUGUUUCUCUCCUGUGUUAUAUGAAAAAUUGUCAACUAGUAUUGUGUUUAAGAAUGACGUGGAAACUUAAAUCAAAUGAAAACUAGUGAUUGCUGAUUAUUUUAAUUUAUUGAGUGGACCGCCUCUCUCUUCGAUGCUAGUUGGCACAUUGAUUUCAUCGAAAGUUACAAGUAAUUCUCACCUUUUGUUGAUGCUCAAUAUCUUUUUGGAAGUUAAAAAUUUGGAAGACAAACACGUUGAUUCUCCUC
rnacentral:lncRNA from 1 species